rnacentral:rRNA from 1 species
CUUGGUCAUUUAGAGGAAGUAAAAGUCGUAACAAGGUCUCCGUUGGUGAACCAGCGGAGGGAUCAUUACCGAGUUUACAACUCCCAAACCCAAUGUGAACCAUACCAAACUGUUGCCUCGGCGGGGUCACGCCCCGGGUGCGUCGCAGCCCCGGAACCAGGCGCCCGCCGGAGGGACCAACCAAACUCUUUCUGUAGUCCCCUCGCGGACGUUAUUUCUUACAGCUCUGAGCAAAAAUUCAAAAUGAAUCAAAACUUUCAACAACGGAUCUCUUGGUUCUGGCAUCGAUGAAGAACGCAGCGAAAUGCGAUAAGUAAUGUGAAUUGCAGAAUUCAGUGAAUCAUCGAAUCUUUGAACGCACAUUGCGCCCGCCAGUAUUCUGGCGGGCAUGCCUGUCCGAGCGUCAUUUCAACCCUCGAACCCCUCCGGGGGGUCGGCGUUGGGGAUCGGGAACCCCUAAGACGGGAUCCCGGUCCCGAAAUACAGUGGCGGUCUCGCCGCAGCCUCUCCUGCGCAGUAGUUUGCACAACUCGCACCGGGAGCGCGGCGCGUCCACGUCCGUAAAACACCCAACUUCUGAAAUGUUGACCUCGGAUCAGGUAGGAAUACCCGCUGAACUUAAGCAUAUCAAUAAGCGGAAGAGAUC